rnacentral:lncRNA from 1 species
CUCCAGUUCUCGAUAUAACAGAGUACGACUUAGAUUAAAAUAAUACAAUUCACCUUCUCUUUUCCAUCUCCACCGCACCAAGUCAAGCACUGUUCACUUUGGGAUCCGUCUCGGUCCUCCUCUUUGUUACCGCAAGUCCUUUUCCUUUGACCAUCCUCUCCAGUCCUUCAUCCAUGCAUCCAUAAGCUUCCAACAAUGGCUUGAGGCCAAGACCUCUUGGAUUCACAAAUAACAAAUGACAAGACGCAAGCCAGUUCACAUGCUCUGUUGUUUUGUGAACUCGAGGACACUGCCUCUGCUGCUAUGGAUCUCAAACGUGUGGGUGGGACCCUAUCAAGAAUCUUAGUGAUUCUUCUUUGCCAAAGUGG